UACGUAGGGGGCGAGCGUUGUCCGGAGUUACUGGGCGUAAAGGGCGCGCAGGCGGUCUGGUAAGUUUGGAGUGACAGUGCUCGGCUUAACUGAGCAAGGCCUUCGAAAACUGUCAGACUUGAGCACUCAAGAGGGACAUAGAAUUCCGGGUGGAGUGGUGAAAUGCGUAGAUAUCCGGAGGAAUACCAAAGGCGAAGGCAGUGUCCUGAGGAGUGUCUGACGCUCAGGCGCGAAAGCGUGGGGAGCGAACAGG
rnacentral:rRNA from 1 species